GACGAACGCUGGCGGCGUGCUUAACACAUGCAAGUCGAACGGAAAGGCCCUGCUUUUGUGGGGUGCUCGAGUGGCGAACGGGUGAGUAACACGUGAGUAACCUGCCCUUGACUUUGGGAUAACUUCAGGAAACUGGGGCUAAUACCGGAUAGGAGCUCCUGCUGCAUGGUGGGGGUUGGAAAGUUUCGGCGGUUGGGGAUGGACUCGCGGCUUAUCAGCUUGUUGGUGGGGUAGUGGCUUACCAAGGCUUUGACGGGUAGCCGGCCUGAGAGGGUGACCGGCCACAUGGGGACUGAGAUAGGGACCAGACUCCUACGGGAGGCAGCAGUGGGGAAUAUUGCACAAUGGGCGGGAGCCUGAUGCAGCAACGCCGCGUGCGGGAUGACGGCCUUCGGGUUGUAAACCGCUUUCGCCUGUGACGAAGCGUGAGUGACGGUAAUGGGUAAAGAAGCACCGGCUAACUACGUG
rnacentral:rRNA from 1 species